UUAAUUUCAACAUAUAUUAAUACAUUUUUAAAAUCAGAAGUUGCAUUGGUUAACAUUAAUGAAUUAACAUCAACUAACAAUGAACAAUUGCAUUUUUAUUAACUAACUAACAUUAACAAAGAUUAAUGAAUGCUGUAAAAAUCUAAACAAUCCGAAACAAUGUGUCAUCUUUAACCGAACAUGACAAUAAUCUUAAAACGACUGUAGAAAGGCUACAGAAAUACGGGGUAUUAAAUUGUCUGAUUUAAAGAUUUUAUGAAGUGUUGAUUGAUAGAAUAUAUUGUAUUGAUGAUGUAAACAUUGUCAUUGUUUUCUAUGCUGUUGACUGGGACGUUCUAAAGAAGGAAUAGACCGUCAGGAGAUCACUGUGGUGGUUAGUCAAGCACUUCAGAGCAUACAUCAGGAGAAAAGAGUCUGUGGAGAAUAUCCAACUGUUGCAGAUCAAGACAGAAAUAUUAAAGCUAACAGGGGAAGACAAACUGCUCUGAAGGCCAGGAGAAGAGAGGAAGCUAAAGAAGCAAAAAAGACAGAUGCUAAAAGUGGAAAAUAUUUCGUUUUCAGAAAUUCAGAACACAAAUGAAGAUUUUAGAAGAAUAUUUCAGCUCUGUUGGUUCAUACACUGCAAGUGAGUGCUGACCAGAACUUUGAAGCCCCAAAAAAGCACAUAAAGUCAGCAUAAAAGUAAUCCAUAAGACUCCAGUGGUUUAAUCCAUGUCUUCAGAAGAGACAUCUGGGAUGUCAUGAGGGUGAGUGAAUGAUGAGAACAUUUAUUUUUGGGUGAACUACUGUAUUCCGUUCACAUUUAUUUCUGAUUUAUGGAAAGCCAUGAAAUGCCAGGUAAAAAAAAAAAAUUUACUUGGUGACAUUUUUUUACGUGUCUUAGUGCCACAUCAAAAAUAAAAAAGCUACGAUUCAAGAAUAAAGUCUUAAAUAAAUGACAAAAUAAAUUACAUUUCCUACAUAACCGCUGCAGUGUCUGGAUACUAAUAAUAACUCAAACAAAGAUUUCUUUAUUGCUAUGUCAAACCUUAAAAUAUGAUUUCACUAAAUCGUCCACAUCUAUUUCUUGCAUUAAUGAAGUUCUCAUAAUGCUACAACUUUAUUCUUGAAACUUUGUCUUUAUUCUUGUAAAAGGCAUGUUAUGAGACUUUAUUCUCA